AUCGUUGAUUGGGGAGUGGCAACAUGCCCACAUGCACACAACACAGCUGAUAGGACACACCAGUCGGUUGUGUGCAGGAGAGUUGUAGCUCUCCCAGACCUCUAACCAAUAUUUCCCUACAUAAUUUCAUAUUUAAGUGCACAGAAGCAUGAUUUGACAUGUCUCACAUAUGGGUAGAGUGCUGAGCAGACAGCCUUGACAUGAACAAGACCUUUAAUCUCUCAUUUUAGAUCCCUUGUCUGCGGACUUGUUGGCAUGCCGGCUGCAUGGCUUAGUUUUGGGAUUAUGUCAACGCCUUCAGCAGAUGCUAUUGCAUUAUAUAAAGAGAUAUGCCAUGCUGGAGAGAGUCCACUCACUCCAUUCUGGCCACGGGCAACAAAUUCACAUCCUGUCCUAUCUCUGACAUGGCAACCAAGGAUUUUGGGAGCAUUCCCAAAGCUGCGUGGCAUCACUUGUCAAAGGUCUGAUAUCCCAGCGGAGGCACAGCAGGUUGUGUGAUGGCGGAGAGGAACAGGAUGGAGCUGCUAUUUUUACCUGAAGCCCAGGAGUGAGCUCAACACAGAAGGUGUGUCUGCACAAGUGUGCGUGCGUGGAGAGGAUGCAGUCAAUCAGCAAACCAACAAGGGAGAACUGACGCAAGUGAAUGAGGGAAGGUGGAGAAGUGAUUUCUCCGACACCGAUCUGAGAUGAG